CGGUAGUCCACGCCCUAAACGAUGUUCACUAGUCGUCGGAAUGCUAGUCAUUUCGGUGAUGCACUUAACAGAUUAAGUGAACCGCCUGGGGAGUACGGUCGCAAGAUUAAAACUCAAAGGAAUAGACGGGGACCCGCACAAGUGGUGGAGCAUGUGGUUUAAUUCGAAAAUACGCGAAGAACCUUACCUAGCCUUGACAUUGAAGAAACAGAGUAGAGAUACACUGGUGCCCUUCGGGGAAUCUGAAAACAGGUGCUGCACGGCUGUCGUCAGCUCGUGUCGUGAGAUGUUGGGUUAAGUCCCGCAACGAGCGCAACCCUCGUCCUUAGUUGCCAGCAGGUUAAGCUGGGCACUCUAAGGAGACUGCCUUCGUAAGGAGGAGGAAGGUGAGGACGACGUCAAGUCAUCAUGGCCCUUAUGGCUAGGGCUACACACGUGCUACAAUGGGGGCGUACAGAGAGUUGCGAUACCGCGAGGGUGGAGCUAAUCUCAUAAAGCGUCUCUCAGUUCGGAUU
rnacentral:rRNA from 1 species